AUUGAACGCUAGCGGGAUGCCUUACACAUGCAAGUCGAACGGCAGCGCGGACUUCGGUCUGGCGGCGAGUGGCGAACGGGUGAGUAAUGUAUCGGAACGCGCCCAGUAGCAGGGGAUAACUACUCGAAAGAGUAGCUAAUACCGCAUACGCCCUACGGGGGAAAGGGGGGGACCGCAAGACCUCUCACUAUUGGAGCGGCCGAUAUCGGAUUAGCUAGUUGGUGAGGUAAAGGCUCACCAAGGCGACGAUCCGUAGCUGGUUUGAGAGGACGACCAGCCACGAUGGACCUGAGACACGGCCCAGACUCCUACGGGAGGCAGCAGUGGGGAAUUUUGGACAAUGGGGGCAACCCUGAUCCAGCCAUUCCGCGUGUGCGAUGAAGGCCUUCGGGUUGUAAAGCACUUUUGGCAGGAAAGAAAUCGCACGGAUUAAUACUCUGUGUGGAUGACGGUACCUGCAGAAUAAGCACCGGCUAACUACGUGCCAGCAGCCGCCGUAA
rnacentral:rRNA from 1 species